rnacentral:SRP_RNA from 1 species
GCAUGGGCCCUGUGCGACGGGGCGCUGUGAACCAUGUCAGGCGGGGAACCGAGCAGCAUUAAGCGGACUGUCCUGUGCGCCGCAGAUCAGCCUGCGCGUC